CAUCCCAUUUUUAUUGCCAUUGAACACAAAAUUUGAAUAAAAUUUCAGAUAAAAUCAACAAUGAAAUGAAUAGUUCAUUAGCCUCAAUAUGAUCCUUUAGCAAUGAUAGACAAAUACAAAAUGUGUAUAUCAUAUGCUAUCACCAGCUAGAUUGUCCAGUGCUUCGAACGACACCAGAAAUAACAUUUUAUUAGAUAUAGGAAGAUGUGGUGUGAGUGCCAAUGAGACAACUCUCCAUCCAAAUAACAAUUUAUAAAAGUAAACCAUUAUAGGUUAAUUUACGGCCUUCAACACGGAGCCUUGGCU
rnacentral:lncRNA from 1 species